rnacentral:tRNA from 1 species
AGGCAUAUAGCUCAGUGGUAGAGCACUUGUCGAGCAUGCACAAGGCCCUGGGCUCAAUACCCAGUACUA